UCGAGCGGUAGCACAGAGAAGCUUGCUUCUUGGGUGACGAGCGGCGGACGGGUGAGUAACGCGUAGGAAUCUACCUAAUGGUGGGGGAUAGCCCAGGGAAACUUGGAUUAAUACCGCAUAAGUCCUAAGGGAGAAAGCGGGGGAUCUUCGGACCUCGUGCCAUUAGAUGAGCCUGCGUAAGAUUAGCUAGUUGGUGAGGUAAGAGCUCACCAAGGCGACGAUCUUUAGCUGGUCUGAGAGGAUGAUCAGCCACACUGGGACUGAGACACGGCCCAGACUCCUACGGGAGGCAGCAGUGGGGAAUAUUGGACAAUGGGGGCAACCCUGAUCCAGCCAUGCCGCGUGUGUGAAGAAGGCCUUCGGGUUGUAAAGCACUUUCAGAUGUGAGGAAAGGUUACAGAUUAAUACUCUGUAGCUGUGACGUUAACAUCAGAAGAAGGACCGGCUAACUCCGUGCCAGCAGCCGCGGUAAUACGGAGGGUCCGAGCGUUAAUCGGAAUUACUGGGCGUAAAGCGCGCGUAGGUGGUUUCGUCAGUCAGAUGUGAAAGCCCAGGGCUCAACCUUGGAAUUGCACCUGAUACUGCGGGACUAGAGUACGAUAGAGGGGAGUGGAAUUUCCGGUGUAGCGGUGAAAUGCGUAGAUAUCGGAAGGAACACCAGUGGCGAAGGCGACUCCCUGGAUUGAUACUGACACUGA
rnacentral:rRNA from 1 species